AACGUAGGAGACGAACGUUAUCCGGAGUUACUGGGCGUAAAGGGCGCGUAGGCGGCCUUCUAAGUCGAACGUGAAAUCCCUGGGCUCAACCCAGGAACUGCGUCCGAUACUGGAAGGCUUGAAUCCGGGAGAGGGAUGCGGAAUUCCAGGUGUAGCGGUGAAAUGCGUAGAUAUCUGGAGGAACACCGGUGGCGAAGGCGGCAUCCUGGACCGGCAUUGACGCUGAGGCGCGAAAGCCAGGGGAGCAAACGGG
rnacentral:rRNA from 1 species